rnacentral:rRNA from 1 species
CUAUAGACUACACGGUAAAUAUUUUAGUUGGAUAACUGAGGUAAUUCUUGAGCUAAUACACGCUAUUUAUACCACAUUAGUGGUGCGUUUAUUUGAUUAAACCAUUUAUAUUGGUUGACUCAAAAUAUCCUCGCUGAUUUUGUUACUAAAACAUACCGUAUGUGUAUCUGGUUUAUCAACUUUCGAUGGUAGGGUAUUGGCCUACCAUGGUUGUGACGGAUAACGGAGAAUUAGGGUUCGACUCCGGAGAGGGAGCCUGAGAAACGGCUACCACAUCCAAGGAAGGCAGCAGGCGCGAAAAUUACCCAAUUUUAGUUAAAAGAGGUAGUGACGAAAAAUGACAACCAAAUAUUAUUAUUAAUAUUUGGAUUGAAAAUCUUCAAGUUUAAAUAACUUGUUGGUAAAGGAAAGGGCAAGUCUGGUGCCAGCAGCCGCGGUAAUACCAGCUUUCCAAGUGCAUAAAAUGAUUGUUGUGGUUAAAAAGCUCGUAGUUGGAUUAUAAAGAUUGUAUAAUGAGCAUCUUGGAUGUUAUUAAUCAUUAUCAUCUUAUAUUUUUAUUAUAUUAGAAAUAAUAUAAUAACUGUUACUUUGAAUAAAUCAGAGGGUUUAAACCAGACAUUAUAUGUUUGUAUGGUCUAGCAUGGAAUAACACUAUAGAAAAAUUUAGUGUGGUUUCACUUAAUUUUUCAUGAUUAAUAGGAACAAACG